rnacentral:piRNA from 1 species
UUCUGGAGACAGUUCUCUCAUGGAUGC